rnacentral:misc_RNA from 1 species
AAAUAUUUGUACUUGUACCUACUUAUUUAAUCAACUAUUUAUUUUAUAUUUCCUACAUGCAAUGAAUAAUUUAUAUGUUUCUUAAGAGAUGUUAUUUAUUUUGUUAAUUUAUAUUAUUUAUUGGUGGUUUAUUUUACCUGUCUCAUUAUGUAUAAUACAUUUUUGUGAUCAUUAAAAUCAGAAGAAAACCAAAACGAUUGAUCCAUUAGUUACAAAUUGCAUAGGGAUAAAAUUCGAUAGAAAUGGGGCCGUUUAUUGAAAUGUAUAAAAAAUGUAAUUGAUUUUUUAAUGUAAAUUUCGGCAGCAUUUUAAAAGCAACAUUUCAGAAAUUUCAUAAUUAGAAGAAAGUAAAUUUCGACUGUUCAAAGCAGCACAUUUUUAAUCUCCAAACCUGAUUAUACCUGCCGCUCGAUAGAAACUUUGUGAAAUUACUGUCAACAUAUUGUCUUUGAUGUUGCCUUUGCAAGUCACAGUUGAGUUUUCAGGCUAUAAAAACGAGCUUUAUUUCUGACAUUAGCAGACUAGAAUUCUCUGUUUCUCUCUUACAAAGAAGACAAUAUCAUUAACGGUACAAGCAUUAGCGGAUUGAGCGUUUUAUUGUUGGUCCAGAAGUACUCUACACAGAGUAGCACUCCGGGGGAAGUCCCCGGGCGCGCACCUGUCUCCCGUCACAAAUUGAUCUCUGUAUUCCACCGUUCUUAUUUGUUUGUUUUUGUUAUCAAAUUUGUUGGUGUACAAAUGAAAACUGAUUUCAUCAAGUGAUUGUGUAUUUCAUUUGUAAAAUAAAAUAUGAGAAACACA